ACGCACGCUGGCGGCAGGCCUCACCCAUGCAAGUCGAGCGAGGACUUCGGUCCUAGCGGCGGACGGGUGAGUAACGCGUGGGAACGUGCCCUUUGCUUCGGAAUAGCCCUGGGAAACUGGGAGUAAUACCGGAUGAGCCCUUUGGGGGAAAGAUUUAUCGGCGAAGGAUCGGCCCGCGUUGGAUUAGGUAGUUGGUGGGGUAAUGGCCUACCAAGCCGACGAUCCAUAGCUGGUUUGAGAGGAUGAUCAGCCACACUGGGACUGAGACACGGCCCAGACUCCUACGGGAGGCAGCAGUGGGGAAUCUUAGACAAUGGGGGAAACCCUGAUCUAGCCAUGCCGCGUGAGCGAUGAAGGCCUUAGGGUUGUAAAGCUCUUUCAGCUGGGAAGAUAAUGACGGUACCAGCAGAAGAAGCCCCGGCUAACUCCGUG
rnacentral:rRNA from 1 species